CAACCUCAGAUCAGACAUGGCGACCCACCAAAUUUAAGCAUACUUCAAAACGGAGAAAAAGAAACUAACCAGGAUUCCCUCAGUAAUGGUGAGUGAAGAGGGAAGAGCCCAGUGCCGAAUCCCUGCCCGGGUGAUGGGCACAGGGAAAUGUGAUGUAUGGAAGUACGUCUCCCUGAUGCCGUCCAGGGGGCCUAAGUCCUUGUGAUGAGGCUCAGCCCACGGACAGUGUGAGGCCAGUGGUGGACCCCGGCUUAUCAGGAUCAGGUCUUCCCAGUGUCGGGUUGUUUGUGAAUGCAGCCCAAAGUGGGUGGUAAACUCCAUCUAAGGCUAAACACAGACACAAGACUGAUAGCGGACAGGUACCAUAAGGGAAAGUUGAAAAGAACUUUGAAGGGAGAGUUCAAGAGGGUGUGAAACCAUUCAGAGGUAAACGAGUGAGGUCUGUGCAGUCUGCCUGGAGGAUUCACCUAGGCAGCUGCCCUGGCCGCCCAGGCGAUGUGGAUCCCCUUUCCCCUCCUGGGGGGACCAUCCCCUGGCAUGCCGGCCAUCAUUGGGCACACUUCCUCCACUGCAGUGAGCUGCAACCAGCUCCAGGUUGGCCGGGAAGGCUGCACAGAAAGUGGCUCCUCUCCCCAGAGGGGAGUGUUACAGCCCACGGCAUCAGUCCUUGCCAUGCCCUGGAGUCAUAGGCAAUGACUGCCACUGCACCCACCCUUACAGUGGGGGGGCUGGGGGACCCGGCUCCUGGUGGAACUGUCGACUCAGCCAGACUGUCUUCAGUGCUGCCCGACCAUGUCCCGCCGCCAAGCUGGCAAGCUCACCUCAGGUGCCCGUGGUCUGAGGCGAUGUCGGUGACCCACCAGCCCUGUCUUGAAACAUGGACCAAGGAAUCUAACAGGUGCGCAAGUCCGAGGGUGGGCAGGAGACCCCAUGGCACAAUGAAAGUGAGGGGGUGGUGCGCACGCUGGCUAAGGUGUGAUCCCGCCACCCAGCGUGGGGGGUGCACUGCCGUCCCAUCUCACCCAUCCAGUCGGGGAGGUGGAGUUUGAGCACACCUGAUGGGACCCAAAAGAUGGUGAGCUAUGCCUGGACAGGGCAAAGCCAGAGGAAACCCUGGUGAAGGUCCGUAGUGGUCCUGACUUGCAAGUCGAUCAUCUGACCUGGGUAUAGGGGUGAAAGACUAAUCAAGCCAUUUAGUAGCUGGUUCCCUCCCAAGUUUCCCUCAGGAUAGCCGGCGCUCAGCAGACACAGUUUUAUCUGGUAAAGCGAAUGAUUAGAGGUCUUGGGGCCGAAACAAUCUCAACCUAUUCUCAAACUUUAAAUGGGUAAGAAACCUGACUCUCUGGUUUGGAGCCAGGUGUUGAAUGCGAGCACCCGGUGGGCCUCUUUUGGCAAGCAGAACUGGCACCAUGGGAUGAACCAAAUGCUGGGUUAAGGCACCCAAUGCCAGUGCUCAUCAGACCCCAGAAAAGGUGUUGGUUGAUAUAGACAGCAGGACUGUGGCUACGGAAGUCGGAAUCCGCUAAGGAGUGUGUAACAUCUCACCUGCCGAAUCAACUAGCCCUGAAAAUGAUUGGCACUGGAGCAUCAGGCCUAUAUCAGGUUGUCGCUAGGAGCCAAGGGGGCUACGCCAUGAUGAGUAUGAGGGCCACUGCAGUGGCAAUGAAGCCCAGGGAGAGGGGCCAGGUGGAGCUGCCAUGGGUGCAGAUCUUGGUGGUAGUACCAAAUAUUCUAACGAGAGCUUUGAAGGAUGAAGUGGAGAAGGGUUCCAUGUGAACAGCAGUUGAACAUGGGUCAGUUGGUCUUGAGAGAUAGCCAAGCACUGUUCCGAAGGGAUGGGUGAUGGCCUCAGUCACCCUCGGCCGAUUGAAAGGGAGUCUUUUUCAAAUUCCCAAAUCUGGAGUGGUGGAGAUGGGAGCCUCAUGGCAUCCAGUGCAGUGAUGCAAAUGAUCCCAGAGAAGCUGCUGGGGAACCAUGGGAGUGUUCUCUUUUCUUUAUAAAGGGCAGGGUGCCCUGAAAUGGGUUCACCCUAAGAGAGGGGUCUGCACCCUGGAAAGCAUCGUGGUUCCGGCAGCAUCAGAUGAGCUCUCGCUGGCCCUUCAAAAUCUGGAGAAGAGUGUGUAAGUCUCGCGCCGGGCCUUUCCCAUAUCUGCAGCAGGUCUCCAAGGUGAACAGCCUCUGGCAUAUUAGAACAAUGUAGGUAAGGGGAGUCAGCAAGCCAGAUCCGUAACUUCAGGAUAAGUAUUGGCUCUAAGGGCUGGGUCGGUCGGGUUCAGGCAUGAAGCAGGGCUGGGUGCACACAGUGGUUGGAUGAGGCAUUGCCCCCUCACCGCACUCCCCCCUCCAGGGGGGGCUGGGGGAUGGCGGCGGCGACUCUGGACAUGUGCCGGGCCUUUCCUGCAGAUCACCACAGCUGUGGCAGUGACCGGCAUCCCGCAUCAUCCGGCAGCUAGCAGCAGGGGAAUCUGACUGUUUAACUAAAAUAAAGUAUCACAAGGGC